rnacentral:rRNA from 1 species
UACAGGGGGUGCAAACGUUGCUCGGAAUUAUUGGGCGUAAAGCGCGCGUAGGCGGCCACUUAAGUCGGAUGUGAAAGCCCCUGGCUCAACUGGGGAAGUGCACCCGAAACUGAAUGGCUUGAAUGCAAAAGAGGGUCGCGGAAUUCCCGGUGUAGAGGUGAAAUUCGUAGAUAUCGGGAGGAACACCGAUGGCGAAGGCAGGUCACUGGGCCGCAACUGACGCUGAGGAGCGAAAGCAUGGGGAGCGAACAGG